rnacentral:rRNA from 1 species
AGCAGCCGCGGUAAUUCCAGCUCCAAUAGCGUAUAUUAAAGUUGUUGCAGUUAAAAAGCUCGUAGUUGAAUUUCGGGGUCAGCAGGUUGGUCGUGCCAAUGGUAUGCACUGGCCUUGCUGAUUCCUCCCUCUUGAUGAGCCGUAAUGCCAUUAAUUUGGUGUUGCGGGGAAUCAGGACUGUUACUUUGAAAAAUUAGAGUGUUUAAAGCAGGCAAGCGCUUGAAUACAUUAGCAUGGAAUAAUGAAAUAGGACGUUUGAUCCUAUUUUGUUGGUUUCUAGGAUUGACGUAAUGAUUAAUAGGGAUAGUUGGGGGCAUUAGUAUUCAAUUGUCAGAGGCGAAAUUCUUGGAUUUAUUGAAGACUAACUACUGCGAAAGCAUUUGCCAAGGAUGUUUUCAUUAAUCAAGAACGAAAGUUAGGGGAUCGAAGACGAUCAGAUACCGUCGUAGUCUUAACCAUAAACUAUGCCGACUAGGGAUCGGAUGAUGUUAAUUUUUAAUGACUCAUUC